GGACUACAGGGGUAUCUAAUCCUGUUUGCUCCCCACGCUUUCGCGCCUCAGUGUCAGUUACAGACCAGAAAGUCGCCUUCGCCACUGGUGUUCCUCCAUAUCUCUACGCAUUUCACCGCUACACAUGGAAUUCCACUUUCCUCUUCUGCACUCAAGUCUCCCAGUUUCCAAUGACCCUCCACGGUUGAGCCGUGGGCUUUCACAUCAGACUUAAGAAACCACCUGCGCGCGCUUUACGCCCAAUAAUUCCGGAUAACGCUUGCCACCUACGUAUUACCGCGGCGGCUGGCAC
rnacentral:rRNA from 1 species